rnacentral:lncRNA from 1 species
CUCAGACCCCACUUGUGAGAUCUCACUAGGUUGUUGUUGUUGACUUAACUUUAUUCAUAACUUGUUACAACAAGCUCUAAAAAGCUGCAAGAUCACUACUAUUACAUCUUGAGGCUUUACAAAGUACAAAGGUUUUAUAUAUUGCUCCACAUGAUGAUAAGUUGUGAGGCUUAGCUUCAAUAUAGUGACCUUAUCCAUGGAUGGCCUCACCUUUGUAGGAGCAGCACCUGCUGCAACCAUUGUAAUUCCGGCGGCCGCAGCAACCAUAGCGGCAGUAUC